CCUGCGUGGGGGAAGCGCUGCCUUCCCUGGGACCCUGCCCCUCCCAGCCCUGUCAGUCACUGCCAGAAUCAAAAUUUGGAAAGCACUUGUACGUUGAAAGCGAGACACGGUUGUUUUGAUAUCUCCUUGUUCCAGUAGGACUUGCAGGUCUGAGAGAUGUUUCUUCCCCCAGACGACAGCAGGAUGUUGUGAUCCUGUUUCCUAAUACCUUCCAUAUCUUCUCUCCUUUUUUUUUUCCCUCUCCACCUCCCAAAAGUCACAGCACUGCAACAGAUAAUGUUUGAAAGAUGAUAUGUGUGUAUACUCCUACUAAGUAAUAAAUGAGAUUAUUUUAGAUGACAAGACAAAUAGAGUGCAAAUAUUUAUCUUUUAAGGACUCAGUAGAGUGAGAAUAUAGGCUGGAAAUACUUUGUGAUAUACUAAGAUAGGUGAGUGGUCUCUCUAUCCACCUUUUUUUUUAUCUUUCCUCUACCAGAAUAGUGGAAUAGGAUUUUUGUAAGAAAAGCAUGUCUGAGACUUGUGAAAUUCAAAAACCAUAUUGAAACAAUUAAGCCAUCAUUUUUAAUAUUUCACUAGAAAUCCCUUCACUAGAAGUCCCUUCUAUCCCCACUGGCUGAGAACUUUUGAAAAUUUAGGUAAUCCCUCCUUAGUUUUACUGCUUUUGAAUUAUAUUGGGACAACAGUAUGCUUCUGUGAGACAAUUUGAACCUAAACUAUGAGCUUUGAUACUUAAUUUUCAAUAUCCAUCUCAUUACUGACUAGCUUUGCAUAACGCUGCAAAGUUGUGUGCAGAUUUUUUGUGGUAAAUUGUCGGAUACAGGUAGUAUAAAACACGUUUGUAACUGACACAGUGUAUAAGAAAGUAAAGAUUUCUUUGACUUCAGUAAUUGUAUCUAAGCUUCUUUAUACCUAAUUUGAAGUUCUUGUAGGUUAAUCCCAGAGAUACAGACAAUUUUCCUCUCUUCGUAGGUGAAGUUGUUUUACUUUUGAGGAACAAGACAUGCUAAAGUAACUGUAGGGUAACCUUUCUUGGAAAUAAAAGCUGUUUUAAGUGUUUGAGGUUGAUCAUGGCAUGUGAUCUGUCCAGAAGCAAAUAUAAAUUUAUAUCUCUCUUGCUUUGCUAUGCUAUCUUUCAGGAAAUGCUGGACUCUUAAGUACCAUCACUUUUGUGGCAGUGUUGCUGUACAGUUUUGUCAUGUGUAAUCGCUCUGGAAAUGCUUUCAAAAGUAAUACUGAAUUCUGCAGCCAAAUCUCAUGCUUUCGGAAAUAAUGCUGGAACUGGACUGCAGGGAAAAGUAAUUUUGUUUAAGUGUUUGUGAUUGACACUGAGAUAAUAUUCAAAGAGGAACUGUAGCAUAUGUAACACAUGCUGUGCUGUUUCAAGUGUCCUCUCUCAAAGAAGGAGCAUAAAUGGUAGUUGUUAGUGAUUAUAGAGGACAUAGGUAUUCUUAUGUUACUAAUGAGGCAAAUACAGUGCCAGGCCAAAUUCUAAAUCUGUAAUUAUCUUUUGCCUCCCUAAAACCGGGAGACAGGUUUGUACUAUUUCUAUCUAAAAGCACUUCUUUUGAUAAAAACAAAUAAUGUUUUGGGUUUUUUUUUUUCUUUCCCUGUGGCCUAGGACAGAAAAGAAAGCUGAAUACUUAAUUUAUGUCACUUUGUAAUGGAAAUUAAACAAUUAAUUCUUCCUUUUACUUUUGAAAAUUUCGCCUUUGUAAGUUUUCAGGAUUUAUAGCAGCUUUAUUUUGUCACUUUAAGUCGUGCCAUAUUGCCAGUAAAAACUGGCUUGCUGUGCAGCUCUGCUAUGUUAGUUUGUUUACAGCUUAAGUGUUUCUGUGGUUUUGCUGCAGCCAGUAAUGGAUUACUACCGACAAGAGUUUUUUAUUUGUUUGUUUGAGGGAAAAGCAUGUGUUGUUUUGUCUCUGUUUUUAGAUGAAUAGAUUUCUUUCAUACUGAAUAUAACAGGUAGAUAUUCAUAGCAAUGUUUCUUUUCCAAGUAGCAAGUAGUGAAAACAGUAAUGUUUGCCUGUGCUUGUUACUGUGCUAGAGUUUGUGAAGCUUCAUUUUGAUAGAUUACAAACAUUGUGGAGUCGUGCUGAUAAAAUAUUUGUUUAGCUCUUGUGAUGUCUCUGAAACUUGCCAGAAAAACCCCUGUUAUUUUUGAUUUGUGAAAGCAAAGACAACCACGUUCUAGAAAGACAUAUGAUGGUAACAUCUCCUUGCUACCAUCACGAACCAAAUUUGGAUGAUCAUUGGGAGGUAAAGGUUUCUGCUUCUCUUUCAUCUCAGUUGCAGUAGUGAUACUGAUACAGUGACAUAUAAUAGUGACCCCAGUAAUGAGCCUGGACCUGAGUGAAGGCAAUGACUGCAGAUAGAGCUAAUUUAACAAAUGACAAAAAAGUUUUGAGAAUAAUACAUAAAGAGCUGAGGACACUGACCAGCUGGAUUCCAGUUGAUAUGUAUUUGCCACUGGUGCCACUGAUUGCAGUGGCUGCAUGCCAUGGACAUCAGCAUCAGAGUAUUCUCUGUUUCUGUGACUGAGAGCAUUGAAUCUGCAACCUUAUUGCUAAUCUAAAAGUGUAGAUCAGUUCAUUUCAAUGCUUGUGACAAGGAAAUGGUUCCACAUGAAAGAAAAAUGUGUUUCUGUUUUUAUAAACAGUGAAAGCUCGAAAUAAUACUUUAUUAUAGAUAUUAGUGAUGAAAAAACCAAAGCAGGACUGACUUGUUGGAAACUAAACUUCCAUUAAUUCUUUUUGUUCCCUUUGGACAAAGCCAUAAGGAGACUUGUUUAUGAUGGAAGACAUUCCUGGUAGAAGAAAGGCAUGGCUUUAGCAGCAGUUUUGAUUAUGGUAAAAUUAACAGAUACUUCAUGGAAAGUCUGUGGAUUAUACUGUGUCACUUCUGUUCUCUGAUGCAAGUCUUUAGUAGCAUCGCUGUUAAUUUCUCAAUGCUUUCCUAGAUGUUUUUGGAUUCACUAAGGAGUUAUAUCACCUGAAAGGUGUAAAAAUAGGGAGUGAGGAAGAUUGUCCAAAAGACUUCAUGUCUCUCCUUUUCCUGCUAUUUCAGCAUUACUUGACUCUGUGACCAACAUGUAAUUUUCUGCACCAGAAAACAAGAAAGAAACAGCGGUUGUUAACAAAUAAGCCAUGCCUGUUUCAGCUGAUGAAACUGUGGGGGACCUGCCUGUGAGAGAUACGGGUCUAACUCCAUCUGGAAUUGAAGGAUUACAAGUAUUUGUAAAUGAUUUAGGCUUUGAACUACAUGUUGUUGAAUAUAUUGAAGGUAAUUUAAAGUUGUCUUGGUUUGGGUAGAAUCAUCAACCACACGAUGUAAAAGCUCUACAAGCUGUACAACAAAUCAUUCAAGAAGAACUGGAGGACAGGUUUCUUCAUAUACAUGAUGACCACAUCUUACUCAAGCAGCAUACAAAUAAGCAAGAGGAGAAAAUUAAAAGCAUCCCUCAUGCCAAAACCCUUGUAACUAGAAGUUUGGAAUGAAUUUCCAAUAGAAGAACAUUGAAAAAAACCCAACAAAUAAACAAAAAACCUGCUUACAGGCAAACUGCGAUUGAGUCCCAAAGGAAACACAUUGAGGAACUAGAACGUGCCAAAGAUACUUGUGAGUCAACUAGAGAAAGAAAGAAAAGGAAAUUGAGGAGUCCAUCCUACGGCUGAAAGAGCAGAGAACAGCAAGCCAAAGGACAAUGUGGAACUGAUCAAGGUCCAUUAACAGCUGGUUGAGAAAAGCAGUGCUCUUUCAGCAAUGGGAGGAAAAUUUCUCCAGCUUCAAGAGAUAAUUGCAACUUGAGCCUAAACAAUUUGAAGACCUUCCAUGAUGUUUUAUUAGCAAAGGUGAUGAACUGAAUGUACAUCUUAAAGAGGAGCAGUCCAAAUGCCUCCAUCUUCAGAAUGGAUUGCAAUCAGUAACUAUUUCAAAGAGAAGGAACGAAGAGCAUGUGCUACAGGAGGUUAAACAAGAAAGGCUAGCAGAUAAGGUGAAGGAGAUGGCUGAAGAAAUUCAACAGGAGAAAGAAGAGCUCUAACAUCUGUCAGAGGAGCAGUUAGCUGACCAAACACCAAUUACUUCUGGAGACGAGACAAAAAUAACUGAAGAAUUGGAACCAGAAGAUCAAGAUGGUAGACAAGCUGAGGAUGCUGUUGAAUCAAUAAAAACUGACAGCAAUGAUGGUAUUAUUUCAAGUCCAGAUCCACGAAUAUUAAACAGCUGAAUCAGUGAUCACGGCAAUUAUUUGGCAAGACAGAAAAAGAUUUUAAGCUGAAAUAUCCUCUAAUAAUAGGUUUGCUAUAUCUAACAUCACUUUUCAAUAAAGUUGUACAUGUACAGUAUCCAGUCACUUCAGUUGUACUUCUUUUUCUGUCAUUAUUUGUGAACAAGUACACCAAUGAUGUCCCCUUACUCUUAAAACCAGUAAUUAAUUAGCAUGAAGUCAUAUAUACAAAAUAACACAGCAUAAUACAAAUUUGGAAAAUUUACUUUGAACAGUAUUUCUAAAAAAAAAGAAAGUAUUUCCUACUUUUAGAUCUAACAUUGACUGAACUAUCUUAAAAAAUACGAAACUAGUACUUAAAAUUGAUGUUAGUACCUCUAACAGUUAAUACUUUUCUCAUCUGUCUUAGCCUUCUUUUAAAGGACUAGAGGUGUACUGUGAGAUCCUGUCAGUCUUCACGGUUUUUAGUGCUCUGCAGUGUGAUAUCCUAGAGGUAGUUUGACUUUUUUAAAUUUUUUUUUCAAGGCGUGAGACAUCUUACAAAGCAACUAACAACAAGAAGCAACUCUUUGCAUGGGAAAUAUUGCUCCUUCUUUUUUAAACUGUAGAAGGGAUUCAGUAAUGCUAUCGCCUGUAUAUUCUUCAGAAAGAUACAAAAGGUACUUUUGAAGAAAGAAUUGCGUUGUAUAAAAAAUUUUCACCUGUAAUUUUGAGAACUAAUCGUUUACAAUGACUGCUGCUCAUCACUAGUAAGUCAAACACUUGUUCUAUACUUUUGUAGUCAUCCUGUAUUUUAUUUUAUCACAGUUAUUUAAGAACACUUCUGAGAGAUUUUUGUGUGUAGAUUCAUUUUAGGUUCAUCAGUUUCUACCUCUCUCCAUUGAUCUCUUCCUCUGGUAACAAAGUGCAUGUUCACAAAGGGUAGAUAAAACAAUAAAAGCUAUAAACUAUUAAGACAACAUGUUUGAUACAAAUUGGAUUUUAAAAAUAUGCCUUGGUUUAUUUGAAUUCUUGGGUUAAUUCUAGAAUACAGCAUGUCAAAAUUGUUAUUGAAUUUGUAUUUUUUUAAGAUUAAAAAUCACUGCCUUUUAUCUUUUGAGAUAAAUAUCCUGCUGGUAAUCAAACACUGUAAAUAAGACUUGUGAUUUUUAGAGAUUGUUAUGCUAAUUAUCCUAUAAAUCUGAGUUGUAUGCCAAACUGUUUAAGCCAUUUAAGAUCAUACUGGGGGUUUUUUGCAUGUUGCAAAUUAGACAGUUCAUGGUUAUUUCUUAGAUAUGUUGAUCAUAAAGGGUAUCUAACAGAUUUUCCAGUACUUAGCUGUACCACUUGCUUCUUUCUCUUUUCUUCUUGUCUAUGAUGUAUGAUUAAUCAUAGAUUACUUCAUUUUGUUUCAUUUCAUUUACAACAUUUAUGAGCUUCACUUUGUCGGUAUGAAAUGCUUGUCCCCUUCUUUCCUUUCCAAAGUGGCAUAAUUAGUGUUAGCAUCUUUUUUAACAGGCUACAUAAAGUUUAGUGGCUGGAUUAAAUCAAGUCAUUAACAUAAUGUGCUAUACAAUUUGCCCCUAUCUCUUUUCGUUUCCAGUACAUCAAAGUGCCACAGAGUGCCAGUGUAAUUGGGCCUUGCUAGCUUGUCAGGUUCAGUCAGGCUGAUGGCUGCUGCUUUUACUAAAAAGCUUCCAGGCAUGAUAAUUAAUAGAGAAAAGAAGUCUGAGAAAUGUAAAAGUUUGGACAGUUCUCUAUGAAUAUUUCAUACAUUUGAAUAAUCAGAAGUUAACAUUAUCAAUUUGAUGUAUAAUACAUUGAUUAAAAGCCUUGUUUCAGAUCCUCAAAAUAGACAUCAAAACUGGGAAUUUGCAUUUUCUUUGGCAUGGUCUUUAUAUUAUAAAAAAAAAAAAAAAAAUUAAAAAAAAAAGUCUUUUCUCUUCCAUCCCCUCCUCCCUUUCACCCCCAUGUCUACACUGUAUCCUUACAGGAGAUUAUACAGCAUUCAGUUAUCACAAUAAAAUUUACUGCUGUCAGCUUCCAAGUUGUCUUAAAAUGUGCCAUGAGGUAAUUACUGGCAAGACCAAUUUAUUCAGUGCUGGUUCUGUUAUUUUCUAUAGGUCUCUCUUUUUUGGUGCAGCUACUGUGAGUGCAUUCUGUUGCUCUAAUAGCAGUUUUUUGAUAACUGUCAUUUACCUCUAACUGUAAGUUAAGAUCUCAAGUUCUAAUUAGUUUUGACAUGAAAAUCCCUCUUAAACACCAUUAAAAGAACAAUACCAAUUGCCCAUGAUUCUCUUGGUGAAUGAAACCUGUUUCUGCAAAUGUGAGAAGAUGUAAAGUAUAAAACCUAUGUAUAGCAAAGCAAUAGAUACUUUUUAUUAUGCUUUUUUUGUAUGACUGCUUGACUAGUGCAUUUCCUCCUAUGUGAUAUCUCUGUUCAUUGGAAAAAAGAAAAUUAUUUGGACAUUGUAUUGCAGUUUUAAAUUUUGGCUGACUUGAUCUCUCUUUACACUAAUUUUCUGCAGGACUUGAGUGCCUUUAGUGUGCUUCAGGGAGAUUUUUGAGUGUUCAAUAUUUUCCUCAAACUGGCUUGUUUUGUGAAUAUCCAAUCAGAAUUUAGAGAACUAAAAUUUUAGAGUUUUAGUAUUACCUUGUGUUACUGAGUUGGCUUGAUUCUGCUGUGCCAGAAAUACUAAUCCUUUGUAUCCUCCUAGUCCUAUCUAAAACCAGUUGCUUUGUGCUUUUCUUCUGUAAGAAACUGGGGAAGUAAAAGUGCUCCAUCAGCAUAUUUAAUAAAACAAGAAAUAAAAUUCAUGAAACAGAACCAUCUUAUCAGAAUAAGAUACAAGUAACUUAUUAAAACUUCAUAGUCAGUACUUUCAAGGAGUACUAGUGGGUCUAAGAUUAAAAAGGAGCUUUUGCCAUUCUCCAUCAUUGAGGUGAUUGAUUGUGUUUUUGUCACUAUAGUCCAGGAACUAAAGUAAAAGAGAGAAAGUUUAAAGAAUCCAGGCAAUACCUAAGUUGUCUUUUGCCAGUGAUAAAGUUUGAAAUGACAGAAGUUUGAGUAGGCACUGUGCAGAAAUGAUGGAUUUACAACUUCCAUCUACCCCUUGUCGAAUAUACUUUGAAGCUGUAAUUGGAAGCAUGUACUGAAAGUCAUUCUUCAUGAUGGAAGAAAUGGAAUAAAAGGGUGAAGUAAUAUCAAAAAACCCAAACAACCACUUUUAAAAUGAUUGAAAACUACAGAAUCUUAAGUCAUUAUUUUUUAGGUAACAAAUAAUACUAAUUAGUUAGAAUAUGAAAUUAAGAAGAAAGUCAAAUUUAAGGCUGAAUGCAUAAGCCCACGGGAAAAGCAUCAGCAAGAGUCAUUUUUAACCCCACUGGUAAUUUUUUGUGGUUAUGAAUACGAAUGAUCCUCAGUUGCUUACUGGAGAUACUGUUUGUCAGAGCCUGUGGACCUGGUGGUAGGUUAUGGUGACUUUACAAAUAGAAAGGAGUAUUUUUCUGACUGGAAGUUUAAAAAUCAAAGGAUAGCAUUUGAAACUAAAUUUUAAUUUUGAUUAGUUUUGUUGUCUAUAUCACCAAGCAUAAUUUUUUCACACUGAGUAUUAUGAGAAUCAAAUUCUAUUUAUUUUUUAAUGUCUGUAUGGUCCCCACAUAAUACUGUAAUGGCGAGGGGGGGAUACAUUAUCAAAUAUUAAAUGAUAAAACUGUAAAUAAAAAGAACAGUUAUAUUAAAAAUGUGCAAUUUGAUAUAUUUCUUCCACUACAGCUGCACUCAAAAAAUGAGGAAUUUUGACUCUUCACUGGAUAAAAUGGCAGCAACCAGAGUUGUAUUCAUUGUCACAAAUAGAUUUUUUUAGUUCAAUGUGUUCUCAGUUCUAGACAGAGCUGAGGGGAUUGCAUCAAAGCUAAUUAUGGUGCUGACCUUGGGCCAUUGUGUUCUCCUGGCACGUGGCAGAACAUUGGUGCAGGGGAACGUGACAUGUGCCUUUCCCUCCUUGACAGUAGAUUCACCUCCAGAAGAGCUGUUCAACAAGGAGACAUCUCUUUUCCCCAGGUCUUAGGGAGAGUCCAAAGUGGAUGCACUAUAGGAAGUCCCAUCCACUUGGAGAAGGAACAGGGAGCAUUUCCACAUCCCUCUUUCUGUUCUCACAUCCACACCAUUGUGGGGAAAAGGUAAAAGUAGAAGAUGUUGUUCCUAACAUGAAAAGUCACUGCAUACAGAACUAGAAUAAUUUUUUGUAAUAUGUAUUUUUAUGUGUAUAUGAUUCCAUGUUGCCUGUUAAUCAUAAUUACUUAAUGAAUAAUGUGUGUGUCUCUGAACACUUGAGUUACAUUGACAUUCCUGUGAUAGCAUUCAUUUGUGGUUCUGUUCUGACAUUGCUAAUAAGAUGAUCACAAGAAUUUAGCACUUGAUAGAGUAAGAGAAUGGCUUAUCAUUCAAUAAAUAUAUUUGUCAAUCAAGUAAUAUUGAUAGUGAUUGAAGUAUUGAUAGUAAGUGGAUGAAUAAUUGUGAUUAUUGGAGAAUAGCUUGUAGUUUUAUCUUAUGUGCUCUCCACAUGAAAUAGAAGAACACAAGUGCAAAUAAAUAUAUAAAAUGUUAAGGAGUAAAGUGUACAUAUUUUUGACCAUUUUUCAAUAUAGGAUUCAAGUUGUCUUACAGUUUAGAAGUUCCCUUUAUUUUAAGUUUUUCAAGGGCCAUAUAUUAGUUAAAACUGUGGAUGUAAAAAAUAGGAACAUUGUUCCUAUAAGCACGGUAUUUUCAGCUCUGCUGUUCUGUGCAGAAGCACUUAUUUCUGUGGGAUGCUAUUGUGUACCAUUUGAGUCAGCUGGAAUCUUACUUUUCACAUCAAAGUCGUAGCCUUUUAGUGUGACCAAAAAGGAAAUGAAAAUAUGGAAUAUACAGCUUCUUGAAGGUGGCAGUCAAGACUGACUGUGGAAUUAAUAAAAGGGUUUCUUAAUCUCAGACAGAUGAGAAAAGUUGAGAUGUAAAUUUUGUACGAAAUGUCCAAUGCCUUUAGUGCUUACCCAGAUCCUGAAGCUUGUUGGAGUUCAGUUAUUCUUCCAAAUCUCUGGGUAGCACUAAUUACAGAGUUGGUAUUAAAAGACAGAGAAAGAAUUCUGACAUAGACUAAGUAUCUUGCCCAUGUUUUGUUUCCCUCACCUGAAAUGAAAGCACUGAACCAGUUUCUCAGAUUCUUUGAAAGCAUUUAAUAGUCUUUAUUUUAAUAUGUGCCCAUUCUCUCUCUUUGAGGAAAUUUUGUAUUAUAUCUUGUUUUAAAUUCUAAAUGUAAAGAAUAAUUUUAUUCCCAUUAAAAUAGAAUGAUUUGGGGGCAGUAAUUGACAAAUUCUCCAUUGUUCACUUGAAUAGUGCCUAAUAAAUGAGACCAAGGCUUAAAAAAAAAAACUUAGGAAAAGAUUUAAAUAACAUAUUUCACUCUGCAUCACAGAAAAAUAAAUAGUUGUUUAAAAAUUAAUUCCUAUCAUAUGUUGGAUGCUAUAUGUAUUUUCAGCCUGGCUAUAUAAUAUGAGUGGGUUUUUAUUAGUGGUGAAAUAUGACAUGCUAGCUGUGCUGUUCUUCAGCAGUUCUAUAUUUUUUAUUUGUAAAUACCUUUUUUAAUCAGCCUGUGUUCUCCUUUGUAUAUGCUGUAUUCAUGUUUAACAUUAAUAAAACUCAAAAUAGUCUUGA